rnacentral:rRNA from 1 species
CCGGCACGGGUGAGUAACACGUAUCCAACCUGCCGUCUACUCUUGGACAGCCUUCUGAAAGGAAGAUUAAUACAAGAUGGCAUCAUGAGUUCACAUGUUCACAUGAUUAAAGGUAUUCCGGUAGACGAUGGGGAUGCGUUCCAUUAGAUAGUAGACGGGGUAACGGCCCACCUAGUCUUCGAUGGAUAGGGGUUCUGAGAGGAAGGUCCCCCACAUUGGAACUGAGACACGGUCCAA